AGAGUUUGAUCCUGGCUCAGGACGAACGCUGGCGGCGUGCUUAACACAUGCAAGUCGAACGGAAAGGCCCUGCUUUUGUGGGGUGCUCGAGUGGCGAACGGGUGAGUAACACGUGAGUAACCUGCCCUUGACUUUGGGAUAACUUCAGGAAACUGGGGCUAAUACCGGAUAGGAGCUCCUGCUGCAUGGUGGGGGUUGGAAAGUUUCGGCGGUUGGGGAUGGACUCGCGGCUUAUCAGCUUGUUGGUGGGGUAGUGGCUUACCAAGGCUUUGACGGGUAGCCGGCCUGAGAGGGUGACCGGCCACAUUGGGACUGAGAUACGGCCCAGACUCCUACGGGAGGCAGCAGUGGGGAAUAUUGCACAAUGGGCGGAAGCCUGAUGCAGCAACGCCGCGUGCGGGAUGACGGCCUUCGGGUUGUAAACCGCUUUCGCCUGUGACGAAGCGUGAGUGACGGUAAUGGGUAAAGAAGCACCGGCUAACUACGUGCCAGCAGCCGCGGUGAUACGUAGGGUGCGAGCGUUGUCCGGAUUUAUUGGGCGUAAAGGGCUCGUAGGUGGUUGAUCGCGUCGGAAGUGUAAUCUUGGGGCUUAACCCUGAGCGUGCUUUCGAUACGGGUUGACUUGAGGAAGGUAGGGGAGAAUGGAAUUCCUGGUGGAGCGGUGGAAUGCGCAGAUAUCAGGAGGAACACCAGUGGCGAAGGCGGUUCUCUGGGCCUUUCCUGACGCUGAGGAGCGAAAGCGUGGGGAGCGAACAGGCUUAGAUACCCUGGUAGUCCACGCUGUAAACGGUGGGUACUAGGUGUGGGGUCCAUUCCACGGGUUCCGUGCCGUAGCUAACGCUUUAAGUACCCCGCCUGGGGAGUACGGCCGCAAGGCUAAAACUCAAAGGAAUUGACGGGGCCCCGCACAAGCGGCGGAGCAUGCGGAUUAAUUCGAUGCAACGCGUAGAACCUUACCUGGGUUUGACAUGGAUCGGGAGCGCUCAGAGAUGGGUGUGCCUCUUUUGGGGUCGGUUCACAGGUGGUGCAUGGCUGUCGUCAGCUCGUGUCGUGAGAUGUUGGGUUAAGUCCCGCAACGAGCGCAACCCUUGUUCACUGUUGCCAGCACGUUAUGGUGGGGACUCAGUGGAGACCGCCGGGGUCAACUCGGAGGAAGGUGGGGAUGACGUCAAGUCAUCAUGCCCCUUAUGUCCAGGGCUUCACGCAUGCUACAAUGGCUGGUACAGAGAGUGGCGAGCCUGUGAGGG
rnacentral:rRNA from 1 species